GUGUUCUCGAGAGUUCCCUUGACCACUUCAUGAGGGAUUAAUUUCUUCAUUUUUGUUGCCCUGCUGAAGUGUUUGGGGGAACUCUCGGUUCAC
rfam:Solanum tuberosum cultivar DM 1-3 516 R44 scf00142_48, whole genome shotgun sequence.